rnacentral:rRNA from 1 species
GGAUUCCCCUAGUAACUGCGAGUGAAGCGGGAAAAGCUCAAAUUUAAAAUCUGGCAGUCUUUGGCUGUCCGAGUUGUAGUCUGGAGAAGCGUUUUCCGUGCUGGACCGUGUACAAGUCUCUUGGAACAGAGCGUCAUAGAGGGUGAGAAUCCCGUCUUUGACACGGACUACCAGUGCUUUGUGAUGCGCUCUCAAAGAGUCGAGUUGUUUGGGAAUGCAGCUCAAAAUGGGUGGUAAAUUCCAUCUAAAGCUAAAUAUUGGCGAGAGACCGAUAGCGAACAAGUACCGUGAGGGAAAGAUGAAAAGCACUUUGGAAAGAGAGUUAAACAGUACGUGAAAUUGCUGAAAGGGAAACGCUUGAAGUCAGUCGCGUCUGCUAGUACUCAGCCUGCCUUUUGGUUGGUGCAUUUAUUAGUAUACGGGCCAGCAUCAGUUUUGGCUGCGGGAUAAAGGUCAGAGGAAUGUGGCACCUUCGGGUGUGUUAUAGCCUCUGGUCAUAUACCGUGGCUGGGACUGAGGAUCUCAGCACGCCUUUAUGGCGGGGGUUCGCCCACCUUUCGUGCUUAGGAUGCUGGCGUAAUGGCUUUAAACGACCCGUCUUGAAACACGGACCAAGGAGUCUAACAUGCCUGCGAGUGUUUGGGUGGAAAACCCGAGCGCGAAAUGAAAGUGAUAGUUGGGACCUCUGUCGUGGAGGGCACCGACGCCCGGACCAGACCUACUGUGACGGAUCCGCGGUAGAGCAUGUAUGUUGGGACCCGAAAGAUGGUGAACUAUGCCUGAAUAGGGUGAAGCCAGAGGAAACUCUGGUGGAGGCUCGUAGCGAUUCUGACGUGCAAAUCGAUCGUCAAAUUUGGGUAUAGGGGCGAAAGACUAAUCGAACCAUCUAGUAGCUGGUUCCUGCC